CCUACGGGAGACAGCAGUGGGGAAUAUUGGGCAAUGGGCGCAAGCCUGACCCAGCAACGCCGCGUGAAGGAAGAAGGCUUUCGGGUUGUAAACUUCUUUUAAGAGGGAAGAGCAGAAGACGGUACCUCUUGAAUAAGCCACGGCUAACUACGUGCCAGCAGCCGCGGUAAUACGUAGGUGGCAAGCGUUGUUCGGAGUGACUGGGUGGAAAGGGCGUGUAGCCGGGCUGACAAGUCAGAUGUGAAAUCCCGUGGCUCAACCACGGAACUGCAUUUGAAACUGUCGGUCGUGAGUAUCGGAGAGGCAGGCAGCAUUCCUCGUGUAGCGGUGAAAUGCGUAGAUAUUAGGCGGAACCCCAGUGGCGAAGGCGGCCUGCUGGACGACAACUGACGGUGAGGCGCGAAAGCGUGGGGAGCAAACAGGAUUAGAUACCCUUGUAGUC
rnacentral:rRNA from 1 species